rnacentral:rRNA from 1 species
GUGCCAGCCGCCGCGGUAAUACUGAGGAUCCGAGCGUUAUCCGGAUUUAUUGGGUUUAAAGGGUGCGCAGGCGGCCUUGCAAGUCAGCGGUCAAAUCGUGGAGCUCAACUCCAUUCCGCCGUUGAUACUGCCGGGCUUGAUUGCGGUUGAGGUUGGCGGAAUUCGUCGUGUAGCGGUGAAAUGCAUAGAUAUGACGAAGAACCCCGAUUGCGUAGGCAGCUGACCAAGCCGUAAAUGGCGCUCAUGCACGAAAGUGCGGGGAUCGAACAGGAUUAGAUACCCUGGUAGUCCGCACAGUAAACGAUGAAUACUUGCUUUUGGCGAUACAUUGUCAGAGGCAAAGCGAAAGCGAUAAGUAUUCCACCUGGGGAGUACGCCGGCAACGGUGAAACUCAAAGGAAUUGACGG